AGAGUUUGAUCCUGGCUCAGGAUGAACGCUGGCGGCGUGCCUAACACAUGCAAGUCGAGCGGGGAUAUUGGAAGAUAUUCGUAUCGGAAGAUAUUCUAGCGGCGGACGGGUGAGUAACACGUGAGCAACCUACCUUUUGCAGGGGAAUAACAGUGGGAAACCACUGCUAAUACCGCAUAACAUCACGAGGGGGACAUCCUCUUGUGAUCAAAAGGAGAAAAUCCGGCAGAAGAUGGGCUCGCGUCCGAUUAGUUAGUUGGCGGGGUAACGGCCCACCAAGACCGCGAUCGGUAGCCGAACUGAGAGGUUGAUCGGCCACAUUGGGACUGAGACACGGCCCAGACUCCUACGGGAGGCAGCAGUGGGGAAUAUUGGGCAAUGGGGAAACCCUGACCCAGCAACGCCGCGUGAAGGACGAAGGCCUUCGGGUUGUAAACUUCUUUGAUCAGGGACGAGACAAAUGACGGUACCUGAAGAACAAGCCACGGCUAACUACGUGCCAGCAGCUGC
rnacentral:rRNA from 1 species